rnacentral:rRNA from 1 species
GAGAGCGGCGGACGGGUGAGUAAUGCCUAGGAAUCUGCCUGAUAGAGGGGGAUAACNNUNGGAAACGGUNGCUAAUACCGCAUACGUCNUACGGGAGAAAGCAGGGGACCUUCGGGCCUUNCGCUAUCAGAUGAGCNNAGGUCGGAUUAGCUAGUAGGUGGGGUAAUGGCUCANCAAGGCGACGAUCNNUAACUGGUCUGAGAGGAUGNUCAGUCACACUGGAACUGAGACACGGUCCAGACUCCUACGGGAGGCAGCAGUGGGGAAUAUUGGACAAUGGGCGCAAGCCUGAUCCAGCCAUGCCGCGUGUAUGAAGAAGGUCUUCGGAUUGUAAAGCACUUUCAGUGGGGAGGAAGGGCAGUUGCUUAAUNNCCUCGUCGAUUGACGUUACCGACAGAAGAAGCACCGGCUAACUCUGUGCCAGCAGCCGCGGUAAUACAGAGGGUGCAAGCGUUAAUCGGAAUUACUGGGCGUAAAGCGCGCGCAGGCGGUUUGUCAAGUUGGAUGUGAAAUCCCCGGGCUCAACCUGGGAACUGCAUUCGAAACUGGCAGACUAGAGUAUGGUAGAGGGGGGUAGAAUUUCAGGUGUAGCGGUGAAAUGCGUAGAGAUAGGAAGGAACACCAGUGGCGAAGGCGGCCCCCUGGACUAAGACUGACGCUCAGGUGCGAAAGCGUGGGGAGCAAACAGGAUUAGAUACCCUGGUAGUCCACGCCGUAAACGANGU